rnacentral:lncRNA from 1 species
GAGGGAGGUUGGGGAGGUGGCUCAGGCAUUGAAAAAACUCUGCAAGAGGUUCUCAUAAGCAUCCAGGGUUGAGCCCCUGCCAACUUCUGUGUAAGCAAGUGUGGUCAGCGGGAUUGGGAAGCCGUAUCAGGAUUGUGCCCCUUUCUGCUCCCCCGCACCGGGCCCCACAGCGCUGUGCUCUUUCUUCUACACCCCACCCCCACCCCCCGCACACACUCUGACCCCUGGAGCUGCCCCUGACAAAAGUCGAGCCUCCUAUUCUCUAGAGCUGAAAACCUCAGCAGCGUUUAAGGUCUCAUCCCUGGGUCCUCCUCCCCCAUGUUCAGACAGGGGUUCUUGUCAGCUGGUUGUCUUGGGGUGGUGCGGCCUCGAACCCAGAACCUUGUGGUGGAGAACCUUACCCAGAGAGGAGGGCAAGGAGACGCGAGACCCGCUUCCCCGUCUCUGACUUCCUAGGCCCGGAGGUGAGGCUGCUGUCCCCGCCCCCUCCACUUGCAGCCUCUGCCCUGCGCCCCUUCUAGAACAGUUCAGCCGUGGCGGGAAGUGGAGUAACAUCCUGCUCACCGUGAUGGGGCAGCUGGACAGUCCCGGGUCAGCCUCAGAGCUGGGGGUCUGAUUGGGCAUCUGAGUACCCCUGGCUCUCAUUGGCAACAAACCAGGAACUCAAGAGAGCCCGGAGGCUGAGCCCUGGCAUCCUUCAUCCCUCCUGGGUGGCCUGGUCUAUGGGCUGGACCCUGUCCUGUUUCUUCCCCUGUGACCUCUGCCCGAUCUCCUUUCACCUUCUCCUCCACAACAGCAUGGCGUGAUGAGCAGUGCUGGGUCCGCACCUGGGAUCUGAACUGGCAAACCCCUGGCUGCUGUAGUGGAACAUGUGAACAUGCCACCUGGCGGGCCCCCAGAACCCAAUUUUAGAACAUUUCCUGAAACUUGGUAUUGACAUCGUUUCUAAGUGAAUUUGUCCUUAAAGUCCAAGAGUUUAUGAGAUUUCCCCUGCUGGGAAGGAGGAAAGGCACCCUUCCCAUAACUCUACCUCGGGUCUCCUUACCAGCCUGCGCUAUGAAUUAACAAUUUUGUAAAUCUUGUAAUUGUCUGAAAAAUAGUCCAAUUUUGUUGCCCUAUAUGUGUGUGUUGCAUGUUAAAGGCUUUGACUUGUUAAAUGCUCUG